GGGUCAGUAGGUUGGUCGUGCCACCGGUACGUACUGGUCUCACUGAUUCCUCCUUCCUGAAGAACCGUAAUGCCAUUAAUUUGGUGUUGCGGGGAAACAGGACUGUUACUUUGAAAAAAUUAGAGUGUUUAAAGCAAGCUAACGCUUAAAUACAUUAGCAUGGAAUAAUGAAAUAGGACGAUCGAUCCUAUUUUAUUGGUUUCUAGGAUUGACGUA
rnacentral:rRNA from 1 species